rnacentral:rRNA from 1 species
UACGUAGGGUGCAAGCGUUGUCCGGAAUUAUUGGGCGUAAAGAGCGUGUAGGCGGCCUCGUAAGUCCGCUGUGAAAGUCCAGGGCUCAACCCUGGAAAGCCGGUGGAUACUGCGAGGCUAGAGUCCGGAAGGGGCGAGUGGAAUUCCUGGUGUAGCGGUGAAAUGCGCAGAUAUCAGGAGGAACACCGGUGGCGAAGGCGGGUCUCUGGGCCGAUACUGACGCUGAGGAGCGAAAGCGUGGGGAGCGAACAGG